rnacentral:rRNA from 1 species
CCUACGGGGGGCCGCAGUGGGGAAUAUUGGACAAUGGGGGGAACCCUGAUCCAGCCAUGCCGCGUGUGUGAAGAAGGCCCUCGGGUUGUAAAGCACUUUCAGUGAGGAAGAACGCCUGGUGGUUAAUACCCAUCAGGAAAGACAUCACUCACAGAAGAAGCACCGGCUAACUCCGUGCCAGCAGCCGCGGUAAUACGGAGGGUGCGAGCGUUAAUCGGAAUUACUGGGCGUAAAGCGCGCGUAGGUGGCUUGAUAAGCCGGUUGUGAAAGCCCCGGGCUCAACCUGGGAACGGCAUCCGGAACUGUCAAGCUAGAGUGCAGGAGAGGAAGGUAGAAUUCCCGGUGUAGCGGUGAAAUGCGUAGAGAUCGGGAGGAAUACCAGUGGCGAAGGCGGCCUUCUGGACUGACACUGACACUGAGGUGCGAAAGCGUGGGUAGCAAACAGGAUUAGAUACCCCAGUAGUC